ensembl:lncRNA
AGAUUGGUGUGGACUGCAAGUGAGCUAUCCCUGGAAUAGACAAAACAAUAGUGCUCCAGUGCUCUCAAAAAAGCUUCCUUAAAGAAUUUCCAGCUCUGCUUUGCUCCUUUGUCUCUAAGGACUGCUUCCCAGGCCUGUCUUCUGCAAGAACACAAACUCUAUCAGGACAUGGUCACUACAGCCCAGAGUACCUCCAGUCUUAAUCUGCAUAAUGAGUUCCUCUGCAGUGGUGAGUACUUUGUGGACUUCGUUCUCCCAGUCCAAAACAAAUUAGUUUUUUGUCUCCUACUUGACAUCUAUUUUGUACAGCCUCAGUUUAAGGAAAAAAACAUCUACUGUUUAGCCCUUUAUUUUUUUCUACUUUACCUAAAUAGGCUCUAGAAUGCAAUGAAACUCUUCAGAAAUUUCUAAAGUAGACAAAUUCAUAGACUGCUUGUAAAAAUGGCUGUAUGAUUCCAUCCAUAUCUUUGAAAAUUUGCACUCAUUUAAAGCAACUCAAACUUGAUCAUCUUUCUGAUGACUCACUGUACUUAAACUUAUUGAACUACUCCCAGUGAUUUCUAUAUUCAGCCAAAUCUCUCAGCCCUCAGAUGAAAAGCGCUUACCAGCUUGAGGUGUCUGAAGUCCAGCAGUAGCAAUUCUCCGUACUGUGAAUGAGAUUCAUCUCAUCUAACUGAUUAAUCUGGAUUGUUAUAUAGGCUUUCCCGUAUAGUCAGUGGACAGGACAGGAGCUUUCAGACAGGAGUUAAAUCUGUUGUAGACACCAGAGAAUUAACAUAUCUCUCCGUAUGUUUUGAAACAGUCUAGGGGAAUGUCUUAGUUAGGAUGACUAACUUCUAAAGCUGUAAGAUUAAAUCCAUACUACAGAUGAAAACAAAACAAAACAAAACAACAACAACAACAACAACAAAAAAAAAACCAGCAAUAUGGGAACACUAAGAAAUCAGUGGUCCAAAAAAUGAAUUCUUAAAAAUCUGCCAAAAAAUAUAUUACAAAUGUAUUUAUGUUCAUAUUUUGUCACAGCAGAUUUCAUGUCAAAGUCCCAUGGUGAAAGCAGAAAUAAUAUUUUUAUUAUAUCAACAAUAAGCUAUUACUCUCAAGUGGCAAUCCAGUCUACUUACAGUGUAAGAGAACUACACAGUAUAGCAGUAGAAACAUAUUCUGUAUGGUACGUGGGCUACACAGGCGGAGAACAGAGUCUCAGAACUCUCCAGCAAUGCCAUAGAAAAGACUGCUGACCAUGCUAAAGAUAUAUAUUUUUUCAACAUUUUUACAUUUAAAAGUAUGAAUAUAAACCAGUAUAACCACAGGUCUGUAAGAUCCUGGUUGUCUAUUAUAUAUACCUUAGAUGUGUUAGACCCCGUGUCAGCAUGGGUCUACUCUGUGUUUGAUCACUAAAACCACUUAAGAGUAUUAGGCAUAAUUCCACAAUUCAUCUAAUCUGUGCUGGAGUUUAAUGUAAAGCCUGUUAUGUUCAAAACAUCCAUCUUUUUUCCAGUGCUUUGCACAUUAGGAUGACUAAUUUUAAAUUUAGCUCUUCCAUCUAACAUGCAGCAUAAGUAAGAAAGUUGAAAUAUUAAAGUGCACAGAUCAUUUAAAAAGGGUUUAUAUAGGAAAAUAUUAAGUGGUAGGAAAAAAGAAAUAUACUUUCUGCCAUUUUAUCUUUAUUAUGUUCACAGAAAUUACAAAGAUAUCCCUGGUAUUCUGUUUUUACCAUUGAGACUAAAGGUUAAAGACUAAAUUCAACAAAACAAUGUUGAUGGCUAAAUGAGCAGGACUUAACAUGCUAAAAGGAUACUAGGUAUUUAAAUGCCUUGCAGAGGAGACUAAGCCUACACAGCCAAGAGAAAACAAUUUCCCAAGCUCCCUGAGGCUUAUCGUUAGUCUGGAAAAAAACAUAAUUUGAAUUUUUCCUUCCAUAUUGUCCAUCUGCCCACUGAGAGGGCCACGAAUAGUAAUAGGUAUCUCAAGAUAGUCACAUUGUUCCAGUUGUUCUUCAUGAAUUUUAACUAAUGCACAAAAGGCCUAAGAUUGCCAUGAAUUUAGACCGCUUCUAGUUUUCUAGUUUUCUUAAUGGUUGCUCCCCCAUACUGGCUACUUUGCUGUCAGUCAAUGUGCUAGGUGCUCCUAGAACUGUUGGGAAGGCUUUCUCUGCAGGCUUUGUACUCCUUCAGGAUGGAAUCAGUCACACAUAGGAAUUUAUUAAGUUUUCGGUGAAAAAGAUAGACUUCUCAAAUAAAGACUUCUCCCUUUCUUUCAAGUUGACAGUGGAUAACUGAACAUCUUUUUUAGCUGAGGUACUUUCAUCCCCCCAUAACAGACUGUAAUGCUGGGUUAGUUGUCUGGCACUCACAGUACAGAAAUGUGUUCUUGAAUGUUCCAGCCAAAAACAAAGUGAUCAGUAAAGAAAUAUUUGCUUUUUUAAGAUUUUUUUUCUUUUUGCAUUUACUUAAAGGGAGCUUAUUUUUCAUGCAUCUAAUCUUCAGUUAAAAAAAAAAAAAACGACAACUCUGAAAAUAUCUUGUUGGAAAUAACACUGGAAUUCCUCAGUCUGUUUAAACUUGUCACCAUCGGUUGUUCAUAGUGAUAGAUUUCCUAAUGCUCACCAGGCACUCACACUUUUUGUGUUUGUUGGAGUGUGCAUCUUGUAAUGUUCACAGCUGCACUAAUUCAAUCAUUCCUAUUUUUGCUACUGAUUCACAAAGACUUCACAGUAUGGGGGAGAAUGAGGAGAGUGAAUUGGUGAUGCUGAUUUCAUCCAAGCAUUCUUUAAAGAUUCAUAAAUACACAGAAAGCUUAAUCUCACCACUUUCCUGAAGGUAAUUUAAUUUUCAUCAUUCUCUUGAUUCUCCUGUCUUUUAUUAGAUUUCUUUUUGUUAUUAUAAAGCAUUUAGAUUUAGGUUUUGGUUUUGUUUGUUUUUAUUUCUGUUGUGUGGUGGGUUUUUUUGGUUGUGGGGUUUUUGUUUGUUUGUUUUUUGUAUGUUUUUGUUUGUUUGUUUGUUUGUUUGUCUUUUUUUUUUUUAAGAAUAGAAAAAAUUCCAUCUAAGCUAUAGGCAAGCAUCUGAUAAAGCUGUUCAGAUUUGUCAAAAUAGUUCAAUACCUAAAAGACCAGAACAGUGCCAACCGUUGCUCCUGCCCCUACAGUGAAUACAUAAUCGUUCCUAUGAAGUGAAACAAUUUCAUCCCAAAUACAUGCAAGUUUCAAAGCAGUAUGAGAACUAUGGCACCACUGAUAAAGUGACUUGUUCAAGUCUCUAGCCCAAAGUUUUUUCAGUUUGUUUACCUACAUAUAUUUCUCAUAUAAAAUAUGAAUCCCUUCAGAAAUUUCACGUCUGUAGAGUUCUACAGCAAAAGUGGACAUGCCUUUUUAUUUGUUGCUUUGCAAACAGGAGAACAAAGGCUGAAUAUUGUUAUGGUCUAAAUCAGGCAUAACAGAGAUGUGAAUAUGUGUUUCCCCCUUUACACAGAAAUGCCUUCUUCAUUAAAAGUCCUUAGAGGAUACUGUGCUUGAGGACAACAUUGUGAAUCAAAUACUCAAUGAACAGGAGAAAACUGGAUGUAGUUUGCAGCAACUAUCCGGGGAGGAAACUGUCCUUGCACUUUUAUUUUCCUAAAAAUUAUUCUGAAGGUUGUCGUUUCAUCCGACUAAGAGCAGGAAAAUGAUAUUUUCUUUAUUUUAUACAUGGAUAGAAAAACAUGUUAUUUAGAUCUAGUUAUGAUCUAAAUUUGAUCUGAUGAGGGCUAAGAAAAUCAGUGAUCUCUAAGCGCAAGAAAUACAUGGACCACAUCGUAGCUACAGUAUAGUGUGAGAUACAACAAAUUCUUGGAAUUCCUCUGGACUUAAUUCCAUUUUUUUGGUUACUUACUUAUGAAAGAAUUUAUAUGUGAGGUAAAAGGGAGAGGAAUACAGAACUCCAUCCAAAAAUGAUACCAAACUUACUGUGAAAUGUCAAACAAACCUGCGUAUUAUCGGUACCAAGCACAAGUCAAUGUAAACAUGCAUAAUAAAUUAGUAAUUGUCAAAUUAAAACCAGUAACUUCUACUGUCUUAUUUAGGAAACUCAGGCUACAACAUUUGAAAUUAAAAAAAAAGGAAAUAUAUCUUAAUUAAAACUGUCUAAAAAUGUCUAAAAAAGCUGGAUUAUUUUUCCCAAGAUUCUCAAACAAUAACCUUUUCCUCAUUUUCUUUUAGCAUGUAAAUCAUUAUAAGAUUUAAAUGCAAAAUAACCUUUAAGUGAGCUGGAUUCAGCCAAGGACUUAAUAAAAACAAACAAACAAAAACAAAAACAAAAAACAGGAGAGCAAUAAAUAGGAAAGAUUCAUCAGAAAUCCAGGAAUAAGGAAGGAAAAGACCUUGGAGUAGCUGGAGUAGCUGUUACUCGAGGCUUUCAAAGACAGGUUAGUAAGCGACAGCAUUUGUCAACAGUGACUCAGGUAUAGAUGAUUCUGUUUUCAAUAUGGAGUUUGCAUUAGUUAUUUAUGUUAUAUGUUAUUUCCUGACCUCUUUUUCUAGGAAUUCAUGAAUUCAGACUUGAAAAUGAUCUGAGUUAUCAUGUAAUAAUAAAUGCUGAAAUGUUUUC